rnacentral:rRNA from 1 species
GACGAACGCUGGCGGCGUGCUUCAUACAUGCAAGUCGAACGAGAAUUCACCUUCGGGUGGAGGAAAGUGGCGGACGGGUGAGUAAUGUGUAGAGAAUCUACCCUAGAGAGGGGGACAACAGCUGGAAACGGUUGCUAAUACCCCAUAUGAGGUAACUUGAAAUAGUUAUCUUGAAAACUCCGGUGCUCUGGGAUGAGUCUGCAUCUGAUUAGCUAGUUGGGGGUGUAAUGGACCACCAAGGCGACGAUCAGUAGCUGGUUUGAGAGGAUGAUCAGCCACAAUGGGACUGAGACACGGCCCAUACUCCUACGGGAGGCAGCAGUAGGGAAUUUUGCACAAUGGGCGAAAGCCUGAUGCAGCAACGCCGCGUGAGGGAAGACGGUUUUCGGAUUGUAAACCUCUGUCUUUGGUGAAGAUAAUGACGGUAGCCAAGGAGGAAGCCACGGCUAACUACGUG